rnacentral:lncRNA from 1 species
CUUAGAUUCUUUUUGCCGAUCCUAACCUUAUUUCUCUAUUCAAACAAAAAGAAAACAAAAAGAAUAUGAGCUACACUAGCCCAGUAAGUAGAACUUGCGCUUUUUUAUCGGAUCAAACAUAAGUUUUUCAUAAUAAUACAAUAUUUAAAAAAUAACAGGUAAUACAAAAUAAAGUAUUUCAUAGAGCAUAUAACAAAACAAGUUAUAAAUUCAUCAUGCAUAUAUAAAUCAUGUAUAUUUCACAAUCAUGAAUCGUAAAUCAUUUUCAUCAUGCAUUCAUGUCAUGUUUCAAAAUAUUGCUCACAGAUAUUCGAGCUAAGGUCACUAUUAUACCCGUGACAGGAUCAUGUUUCUUAAUCAACAGAGUUCUUAAUUCAUGUGCCAACUUUAUACCCACUGGCAGGGUCAUGUUUCAUGUGGAUGCUAGCUCCGAAUGUCGACCUUUCCGAAGAGAUUCAUUCAUAGCCAUCUGAGAGCCUUUGAAAUCAUUAUAUCUUUUUCUUAAAGCAUACAUAUACAUAGAUGGAAAAACAAUGAAAUUCAUACUUCAUAAUCAUGCUAUUUUCAUAAGACAUAUUCAUGAAAUCAAUGCUCAUAAUAAGACAUACUUUUUCAUAUCACAUAUGCCGAUCCUUAUUUUAUGAAAAAUUAUGAUUUCAUCAAUA